rnacentral:rRNA from 10 species
UAAACGACUCUCGGCAACGGAUAUCUUGGCUCACGCAUCGAUGAAGAACGUAGCAAAAUGCGAUACUUGGUGUGAAUUGCAGAAUCCCGUGAACCAUCGAGUUUUUGAACGCAAGUUGCGCCCAAGGCCUUUUGGUUGAGGGCACGUCUGCCUGGGCGUCACAC